UCCACCAUGGACACUUUUGAUUUCUGUUUAAUCUUUCUUUAUCUAUGAAUCUUAUUCUCUCAAUGAUUUCAGAAAUGUUUGGCUUCUGGUUGCCGCUGUUAGGUUUCUACAAUUGACACUCUGAUUGGUUGUAUUUUAGAAACUUUCCUGGAUCUUAAGGUAAUCGUGCCCAGUCAGGGGUUAAAGGGAGCUUUGAUCAGGAGAGGCGCGAGAAUUUCUCUAGAAGGGACUGGUUCAGUUUGUUGUACCGUCCCGUUUUGCUUGGUAUAAUCUGUUUGUGUAAUGUGUACAGUACAGCUCGCUGUAGCUGUGUAGAUGUCGGCCAGGUUCUUGAAAUGAACCGAACUUAACAAUGGAGGAAUAACUAAAAUAAAAAUAUGGAAAAGG